UCCGAGUUGUCCCCGGCAGUCCUCUUAGAGUCCCCGGCAUUACCCGCUGGCAACUAAGAGCAGGGGUUGCGCUCGUUGCGGCACUUAAGCCAACACCUCACGGCACGAGCUGACGACAGCCAUGCAGCACCUGUGCUAGCCCCUUACGGACACGGGCUUUCACCCGCUUUAACUAGCACGUCAAACCCAGGUAAGGUGGGGAUGACGUUUCCAGGUUAGG
rnacentral:misc_RNA from 1 species